UCAAAAUUAAUAACAAUUUCAGAUGAAAUUAUUAUCAAUGAUACUUCAAGUCAGUUUGUCAUCACAGGCUAAAAAAAAAAAAAAAUGAAUAGGUAUAUGAAGCUAUUCUUUUCUGUUUGAAUAUGGGUGAAAAUCAAUUUUUUACAUUUUGUUGAAAGUGUAGAAUUGAGAUAUAUUUAAAAGAGAAAAGUAAAAUAUAAGUUUUAUUUGCAUGACACGAUCUGAGCAUCUACGUAGUCGACUAAGCUACCAAGCUUUCAGGCUCUAUGACACAUCUGUUAGGCUUUCACACGCAUACAGAUGCUGGCACAGCACACGGACACAUGUCUUAGAGGCCAGACAUCUGGGGACCAGCUUCUGUUUUAUCCUUACUUAAUGCCUGCCCUGUAUUCUGGCUAUUUAUGUUUGUAUCUUUGCGUUGAGUCAUACCAUGAGCUUUCAUGUCAGGGAAAUGCAACUAAAAGCUUUUUUCAAACGGUGCACAAAUUUUUUGGUUCAUUAAACGUUCAUCUCAAGCGUCGAAAUAAUCGUCCAAUCAUAGUUCACAUUUUUGUAGCACAUCGAAGUAUUCUGAGUUUGGUUUCAAAUCGCAUUUUUGUUCAAUAUUGGUAUAAAGAAUCUGAACCGGAUUUUUUCGGCAAGAAUCAUUUACGUUUUCACUUUGAGAUAUUCAUCAACAUCUUUAUGGGGCAUCAUAUUUUCAAGUCAAACACGAACUACGCUGAGAGGAUUGACUCGAAUAUCUAUCUGAGUCAUUAUCUAUCACUCCUGGCACGUCAUUAUAAAACGUGUUGAAUUGGGUUAUUAGACAAUACUAUUUUGCAUGAUAUGACACUGACAAACUCUAAUGUAAAGCACGCAAAGGUAGGACACAUGGAAACAUUAUUGACGAUAUUGUGGGAACUCUGAUAACAUCAUUCCAUAUUUCCAAAAGAAUCAACAAAAAUCUGGUUGGAUAUGUGAAAAAUUUGAAAUAGUUUACCUUGAGCAGUUUUGUUUGUCUUUGGAACCAUCUUGUCUAAGCCAGCCAUGUUUCGAAUCUCCCACGAAGAGUCAUUCGAACUCAUCUCCCAAGCAUUCUGAAAAGAGGCGAAUAUCAUCUACUGGAGCGGUCGAUUUCUUUGAACAACAGGUAUACCCCUAGGUGGUCUUUGUGGUGUGACUUCUGUCUUUCCACUGAUUUGUGAAGUAGGCCUAGGAUUAUUCUGAAGACCAAGAAAUGGAGUUCCAGCUUGAUUCAGUCUAGGUGUGAGGUACCCUGUAUUAAAAUCAGUCUGUGGUACCUGGGAUUCUAAUGAGUCUACGUCAGGAUGUGAAAACUGAAUUUCGGACAUUAUUUGACUGUCCAUAGGGAGUAUCAUCACAACCGUCAUCCUCGUCCACCUCACUGCCUAGAAAAUGAAGAGAUAUAAUGUCAAUGAUGCCAGAAUAAGAUGUCUUUUUUUAUCAUGUUAUUAGUUUGGUAAAAUUAAAAAAUUCUCGGAAACCAGAAAUGUGAAUUGAGAUUUAUGGAUGAAUCUAAAGUACCAAACAGAAACUAUUGAAGUGUCAUUGAACUUUCGUGCAAUGCCAGGUAGGACCAGAAGAAAGUGAUGGACUUACUUAACGUGUAUUCUACAGGAUCCAAUCGACCACUGAAGAACUCCGAUAAAGAGGUCAUUAUCCUAACUACCUCAUCCAUCGAUGGCCUUUCUUCAGGAAUCUUCUUCCAACACCUGAAUGUAAAAAUGUACAGUUCAAGUCAAGUGAGAGGGCUAAAUAUCAAAGAAUAUAAAUUUGGUGAACAAAGAGUGACUUUGAGGCAUGAAACUUAUUCAAAUAAUAUGCAAGAAAUAAUUUCCUGGAUCUUCGAUAAUUUGAGAAACAGAUGUCUUCUAUUGGUUUUGGGCAUCCCUCCAUCAAUGGAGGCCUCUGUCCUAUGUGUACAGCCCACAUGAUUCUGUAUGCAGAUCCACCGAUGUCGUCAAAGGGUUUUCUCCGUGAUAAAACUUCCCAUAAGAUAACACCCCAAC